CAGAUGCCAACCACUGUGACAGCAAUAGAUGUCAAAACAACGCCAUUUGCGAGAAUACAGCCAAUGGGUACUUCUGCCUCUGUGCUGAGGGGUACUUCGGAAAAUACUGUCAAACGAGAUCCAAACACACAGCAUUUGUUUCAACAGAAAUGGCAAUCGCAAUCGGUAUUGGUGUGGUAUGUGCAUUCAUGCUAGGUGCUUGUAUAGGAGCGGUGGCUAUGUACAAACUGAAACCGAGCAAUACAGUCGGAAGUUGGAAGAAAGAUCGCGCCCCACCCGCUAAAGAACCGAAACUGAGAGAGCUACGUAUGCAAAAGAGGGAGAGCAAUACGUUGAGCCCACUAGGGUACUAGCGGCGAACCUGGAACCAACCUUCCUGACGACCGAAGAAAGCAGUGCCGUUACUUCAUAUUCACUCAAAAGGAAGCUUUAAUGAAAUCGACAACUUUUAUUGAUAGUGAACGAAUGUUGUACAUUCACUGUGUUUUGUGUUUGUUUUAUUUUGUGUAGUUUCUUUAAGUUGUUAUGGUCCUAGGUUGAAAGAAAAGCUAGAUCUUUCAUAAACUCAAAAUAAAUUUAAAUGACAUGUUAGGUCAAUAACUGAUUUUGAAUAACAUCACUUUGUACACUUAUCAUGCAAUGCGAUAAAACAGACCAAAUUUCAUCUUAUGCUAUAAAAAUAUAAUAGUAUUUGUAGCUGUUCUAAUGCUUAUUACAAAACUGAAACUUGAAAAAUUAACGUAUCAUUGUACCAUUGUACAACACGAACCAUUAUUUAAGAAAUGUAAACUCCUGCAAUUCAGCACAAGCCUUU